AAUUGUGUAAGAAGAAACGGACAUGUUUAGCAAAGGCCAUGUCUUAGGACUGCAGAAGGAAACCGGAGCGAACACAGGGAUAACAGGCCAACUCCACGCAGACUGAGCAUUCACAUGGAACAAUGCUUAAAUUUACCGUUUCAAAAUACAACCUAAUCCAACAGUAAUGCUAAUGCCUCAUGUUUUCUUGAACGGAUACUUACCUCGGGGCCCCUAACCAAGAAAAAUCAGCAAAAACAACCUGUACUGGAC
rnacentral:lncRNA from 1 species